AUCUCCAGAGUUCAUCUUUCCCUCUUCACGGUGGCUGACGGUGUUUGAGAUGGGUGGCUACACGCUCAGUCUGAGUUAAAGAAUCACCUUGGCCAUUUACUAUGUGAUGGAUCUUCCUUCACCUGAGAAAAAUGGGAUUUGAUCAACUGUUCUAGGAAAACAUUAAAUACUACAGUACUAUGCAAUCCACUACUGGUUGAAUCCAUGAAUGCAGAACUAUGAUAUGGAGGAAAUGCAUAUGGAGAGCCUACU